CUUCGAGUUCCCUGCCCCCCCCCUUCCUCACUCCUCCAGCGCCCCCUCCAGAUUCCCUCCGGGUCUCCCAGGCCUGUGCCUCUGGUCUAGACUCUUGGUGGGGGAUGGGAGGCGAGUUCAAAAUCCCACCUGAGCCGAGGGGGAGGAGCUGGGGAAGCACUGGCCAGGUGUGUCUCUUCCUAGCCUUAUGUUUUCUUUCCAUCUAUCNNNNNNNNNNNNNNNNNNAGAUUCCAGCCCUUAAUCCGUAAUGACGUGGAUCGAUCCAUAGUCGGCAUUAAGGGCUCCUCACUUUCGUGUCCCGCUAAUGGACAUCAAUUUGGGACUUAAGGCCGACAAAUAAGCCAACCUGAGACCCAGGCGCCUGCUUCUCCCUCUCUCCCCCUCCGCCUGCUGCCUCUCCCUUUCUUCCCCUUAUUCUUCCUCCCUCCUUCGACUACCACCCCUUUUCCUGGUGCCUCCUCUUUCCCCAGCCCCAAACCCCCAGGGAAACACAGUCCGGGACAGACUCAACUCUCCCUCGCCAGCGUCACACCGCCCCCCUUCCCAUGACGCACUCCGUUUUUAAUGGAACCGUCUUCGGCCGCCACCUCCUCGCCCUCGCGGGCCUCUACGAAGAUUCCAGGCCCUCCAGAGACCAGGACGUCCCUCAGCACCACCGCCCCCUGUGCCAGGGCCGCCCGGAAACAGCCGAUACCCACACCGGGCAAGAGAACUGCACGGGGGGCAACUGGGGGAGGCUGGAAUGAGGGAGGGAAGGUGGGAGGGGGAGGGGGCGCACACCCACAGAGGCCGUAGCAACCGGCUUCUGGGGCGCCCUGAAGCCCAGACACCCCUAUCCUCUCUUUCGCAUCCCCCUCGCUUGAGCCUCUUCUCCCAGCUUGAAAAGGCGACUUGGAGCUUGCCUCCGUGGCCCCUUUCGGUUCCUCCUCCCAUCUUCCCUGCCUUGGCUCCCCCUCCAGGAAGCAGCCACCCCUCUCUCUCGGCCACCGAAUUUCCUGGGAAGCCUCUCCCUGCAGCGCCCGGAGAUAAUAUUGUCCCAACCUGA
rnacentral:lncRNA from 1 species